UACGUAGGGUGCAAGCGUUGUCCGGAAUUAUUGGGCGUAAAGAGCUCGUAGGCGGUCUGUCGCGUCUGCUGUGAAAACCUAGGGCUUAACUCUGGGCGUGCAGUGGGUACGGGCAAACUAGAGUGCGGUAGGGGAGAUUGGAAUUCCUGGUGUAGCGGUGAAUGCGCAGAUAUCAGGAGGAACACCGGAGUCGGAAGGCGGAUCUCUGGGCCGAUACUGACACUGAGGAGCGAAAG
rnacentral:rRNA from 1 species